rnacentral:rRNA from 1 species
GACGUAGGGGGCGAGCGUUGUCCGGAAUUACUGGGCGUAAAGGGCGCGUAGGCGGCCUGUUAAGUCGGAUGUGAAAUCCCUCGGCUCAACCGAGGAACUGCCUCCGAUACUGGCGGGCUGGAAUCCGGGAGAGGGAUGUGGAAUUCCAGGUGUAGCGGUGAAAUGCGUAGAUAUCUGGAGGAACACCGGUGGCGAAGGCGGCUUUCUGGACCGACACUGACGCUGAGGCGCGAAAGCUAGGGGAGCAAACGGG